rnacentral:rRNA from 1 species
UGCCCAGUGACAAUAUGUUCAACGGCCGCGGUAUCCUGACCGUGCAAAGGUAGCAUAAUCAUUUGCCUUUUAAUUGGAGGCUAGUAUGAAUGGGUAGACGAAGAUUCAGCUGUUUCUAUAUUAUAAAUAAAACUUAAACUUUAGGUGAAGAUGCCUAAAUAUCAUAGAAAGACAAGAAGACCCUAUAGAGUUUUAGUUGAAAACACUUUACAAUUGUGUAAUAACUUUGGUUGGGGCGACCUAGGAUUUUUAUAAACAUCCUUUUAAUUUACGAUCCUUAAAUCUUUACAUUAGACCCUUAAACGGAUUAUUAAAAAUAACUACCUUAGGGAUAACAGGCUUAUCUUCCUAGAGAGCUCUUAUUGAUAGGAUGGUUUG